rnacentral:rRNA from 1 species
ACUCAAAUGAAUAGACGGGGACCCGCACAAGCGGUGGAUUAUGUGGAUUAAUUCGAUGCAACGCGAAAAACCUUACCUACCCUUGACAUGUACGGAACCCUCCAGAGAUGGAGGGGUGCCCGAAAGGGAGCCGUAACACAGGUGCUGCAUGGCUGUCGUCAGCUCGUGUCGUGAGAUGUUGGGUUAAGUCCCGCAACGAGCGCAACCCUUGUCAUUAGUUGCUACAUUUAGUUGGGCACUCUAAUGAGACUGCCGGUGACAAACCGGAGGAAGGUGGGGAUGACGUCAAGUCCUCAUGGCCCUUAUGGGUAGGGCUUCACACGUAAUACAAUGGUCGGUACAGAGGGUUGCCAACCCGCGAGGGGGAGCUAAUCCCAGAAAGCCGAUCGUAGUCCGGAUUGUUCUCUGCAACUCGAGAGCAUGAAGCCGGAAUCGCUAGUAAUCGCGGAUCAGCAUGUCGCGGUGAAUACGUUCCCGGGUCUUGCACACACCGCCCGU